GAGUUAGAAAGAAAAUAAAAUAUUGUUAUAUUUAAAGAGGAAGAAUAAGAAUAAGAGUAAUAUUUAAGACAUUAUGAGGGAUAGAGUUGCAUCAUCCAUCAUAUUAAUGGUCCGCCACUUAGUCCUUGAGCCUCUUAAACAUAGAAUAGUUGCUCUCAUGAUAACAAAAGACAUAUGAGUCCACAACCAACAAAUAAUCUCACUGUAACUUCUCUCCCAUUUGCAUGACAACCUAUCAGCUAAUCUUUUCAAAAACACACUUGCUUCUCUGCCCAUCAUUCCAUCCACUGAGGUGCACAAUGGCAUAGAUAUUAGAGACUACAUAGUCUCUAAUAUCUAUAAUAAUGGUGUGAACAUCGCCCUCCUCUCUUCACAUGCAUUCUUAUACUUAUCUUUCUCUUCUUUCUCAGCAGCACUUUAUUAUUAUUAUUAUUAUUAUUAUUAUUUAUAGACGGACCAUUUCAAGUGUUAAGGGCCUCAUUGACUCCAUGAAAUUGUAUAGCUUACCAUAUUUAGUCAUUUUGACUAAAUAAUUAAUUGGUGAUAAUAAUUCAGUCUCCAAUCUGAUGCAACUGCAGUUUAUGUGAUGUUGGAUAGUGGAGCUUUUCAAGGAUAUUUCAAUGAUAAUGGGUUUUUAAUGAACCCAAACAAAGUCUAUAGCAUGACAUUUACGUCUUGGACUGAUGUUAGUGUUGAAGAUGCUACCAAGAACAUACAAACAAAAUCACUGGUUGCUGACCUGCUUUGAUUGACUGAUGAAAUAGAACUCACUCAUGCUUCUUGCUAACUUUAUUUGAAAUUCUUUAAAAAAUUUUGCAUAUUAUACAUCUAUAAAUUUAGGGAA